GCACCCAUACCCACUCACCCACCCCCUUGCCCCAGACAGGGGAAGGGAAAAGUGUUCCCUUUAGGCUGCUGGGCAGAGGAAUGAGUAAAGUGAAGAAUGUCCUUAAUGUGGGUAGGGAAGGGGAGGAGAGUGGCCCAAGCCCUCAGCUCCCCUCCUGCUCUGCUGAGCAGAAGGGCAGAUGAUGUGAAAAAAAUGUCCUCAUGCAUACUGGAGAGGGGGAAGGGAGCAGCUCCCCCUGAGUCCCUCUGCCUUUUUAGUAACAAACUCUGGAAGGCAACAGUGUGUGUGCCUACCUUCACAGCUCUAUACAAAUGUCAGCUGUUACUGUUGCUGAUGAUGAUAUUGUUGUUUGAUGUUGUUACUGACAGCAGCCUACAGACUGGACUUCACUUGACAAAAAGAUGGAACAUGAUAAAUGUUAAUUGACUGCCUGGCAGGAUGAAUCCCUGAAUCAUUAGAGGUCAGUAGUAAUAGAGGAGGAAAAAUCAGGCAGAUGCUUCAUGUAACUCCAACUUCAAUCGUUUCCAGAAUGGAUCAGGCUCUACAUUCUUGCCAAACCUGCCAGCACUUUCAACUCUCUGCCAGUCAAUCUCUUUGCAAAAAUUGAAGGAGGUAAGAGGUAGCCAGGUAAGAAGGAAGUGGAGAGAGCAGUAUCUGGGCUAGGGUAAAGGAAUGAGUGUUGAAUUUUUCUCCUUUCCCUACCCCAGCCAGAGGCAGGAAGCCAGGUGCUCAUUUAAUUAAACUUUUUGUCUGCCUGGCAAGGACAAAACACAUUCUACUAUAUUCCAAAAGUGUUCCCUAAAGAAAGUCCUCUGCCUCCAGCUGUGAAACUGAUUGAUGUUCUUAAAGCCCAGAGAAGCUGUGAUUGCUCUUUCAAGGCAGAAAAAAAUUCCACUGGGUGUGGUGUGUGUGUAUGUGUAUGUGUGUUUA
rnacentral:lncRNA from 1 species